ACAGCAGCAGCCGCGGUAAUACGGAGGGAGCUAGCGUUGUUCGGAAUUACUGGGCGUAAAGCGCGCGUAGGCGGUUACUCAAGUCAGAGGUGAAAGCCCGGGGCUCAACCCCGGAACUGCCUUUGAAACUAGGUGACUAGAAUCUUGGAGAGGUCAGUGGAAUUCCGAGUGUAGAGGUGAAAUUCGUAGAUAUUCGGAAGAACACCAGUGGCGAAGGCGACUGACUGGACAAGUAUUGACGCUGAGGUGCGAAAGCGUGGGGAGCAAACAGGAUUAGAUACCCCUGUAGUCCCUGUCUCUUAUAC
rnacentral:rRNA from 1 species